AAUCAACGCUGGCGGCGUGCCUAACACAUGCAAGUCGAACGCGAGAGGGGCUUCGGCCCUGAUUGAGUGGCAAACGGGUGAGUAACGCGUGGGUGACCUACCUUCGAGUGGGGGAUAACGUUCCGAAAGGGACGCUAAUACCGCAUAACAUCCUGUCUUUGGACAGACGGAGAUCAAAGCCGGGGAUCGUAAGACCUGGCGCUUGAGGAGGGGCCCGCGUCCGAUUAGCUAGUUGGUGGGGUAAUGGCUCACCAAGGCAACGAUCGGUAGCCGGCCUGAGAGGGCGGACGGCCACACUGGGACUGAGACACGGCCCAGACUCCGUACGGGAGGCAGCG
rnacentral:rRNA from 1 species